CUCAAAUUUGAAAUCUGACCUUUGGGUCCGAGUUGUAAUUUGUAGAGGAUGUUUCGGGUAAGAUCUAGGUCUAAGUUUCUUGGAACAGGACGUCAUAGAGGGUGAGAAUCCCGUACGUGGCUCAUGAUCGCACCCAUGUGAAACUCCUUCGACGAGUCGAGUUGUUUGGGAAUGCAGCUCAAAAUGGGUGGUAAAUUUCAUCUAAAGCUAAAUAUUGGCCAGAGACCGAUAGCGCACAAGUAGAGUGAUCGAAAGAUGAAAAGCACUUUGAAAAGAGAGUUAAAAAGCAUGUGAAAUUGUUGAAAGGGAAGCGCUUGCAGCCAGACUUGUUUAUAGGGUUCAGCCGUCGUUCCCGUCGGUGUAUUUCCCUAUCAUCAGGGCAGCAUCAGUCGGGUGGAAGUAAAGGUUCGGGAUGUGACUCCUUCGGGUCGGUUUAUAGCCUGGGACAUAAUUCCUUACCCGCUGGGACUGAGGAACGCGUUCGCUAGGAUGCUGGCGUAAUGGUUGCAAGCGACCCGUCUGAAACACGGACCAAGGAGUCUAACAUCUAUGCGAGUAUUUGGGUGUCAAACCCCUAUGCGCAAUGAAAGUGAACGGAGGUGGGAGCUUCGGCGCACCAUCGACCGAUCCUGAUGUCUUCGGAUGGAUUUGAGUAAGAGCAUAGCUGUUGGGACCCGAAAGGUACGUUCUACUUUUAUUUGUCGCCAGUUUCCUUUUUUCGUGUUUAUUGAAUGCUAAUUAAUUUUUUAGAUGGUGAACUAUGCCUGAAUAGGGUGAAGCCAGAGGAAACUCUGGUGGAGGCUCGCAGCGGUUCUGACGUGCAAAUCGAUCGUCAAAUUUGGGUAUAGGGU
rnacentral:rRNA from 1 species